rnacentral:misc_RNA from 1 species
GUGAGUCAUCGAAUCUUUGAACGCACAUUGCGCCCUUUGGCAUUCCGAAGGGCAUGCCUGUCCGAGCGUCAUUUCAGCCCUCAAGCGCCGCUUGGUGUUGAGCAUGGUCCGCAGGGGCCUGUUCGCAACUCGUCGGGCACGACCGCGAGGUCCCUGAGCGUAGCAAGUCACUCGCUCCGGCACCGCGACGGGCGCCGCCCUCGAACGAACCCAUCAGAGCUUGACCUCGGAUCAGGUAGGGAUACCCGCUGAACUUAAGCAUAUCAAUAAGCGGAGGA